CGCGUAGGCUGUUUGCUAAGUUGGAUGUGAAAACUCUGGGCUUAACCCAGAGCCUGCAUCCAAAACUGGCAGGCUGGAGUUUUGGAGGGGAAGCGGAAUUCCUGGUGUAGCAGUGAAAUGCGUAGAUAUCAGGAGGAACACCGGUGGCGAAGGCGGCUUCCUGGACAAAACUGACGCUGAGGCGCGAAAGCUAGGGGAGCAAACA
rnacentral:rRNA from 1 species